GGCUAGGAAUAUACAAAUCGGGUAAAAUACGCCCAUUGUUUUAGAAGAACAAAAUAUGAAACAGCCAAACGCUUAAAUUGAAUCAACGAAUCACACUAAAAAGAGUAGGUUCAGCGAUGAGCCAAGCUAACAUAUAAAGUGUGGAUAUCUGCAGAUGUAAAGGAACACAUUCUAUUCAGUUUACAUGGUAUGGAUAUGUCACAUAUGGUAUCCCUUCUUCUUUU
rnacentral:misc_RNA from 1 species